rnacentral:rRNA from 1 species
CGCUAGCUACAGGCUUAACACAUGCAAGUCGAGGGGCAUCAGGAAGAAAGCUUGCUUUCUUUGCUGGCGACCGGCGCACGGGUGAGUAACACGUAUCCAACCUGCCCUUUACUCGGGGAUAGCCUUUCGAAAGAAAGAUUAAUACCCGAUAGCAUAAUGAUUCCGCAUGGUUUCAUUAUUAAAGGAUUCCGGUAAAGGAUGGGGAUGCGUUCCAUUAGGUUGUUGGUGAGGUAACGGCCCACCAAGCCUUCGAUGGAUAGGGGUUCUGAGAGGAAGGUCCCCCACAUUGGAACUGAGACACGGUCCAAACUCCUACGGGAGGCAGCAGUGAGGAAUAUUGGUCAAUGGGCGCUAGCCUGAACCAGCCAAGUAGCGUGAAGGAUGAAGGCUCUAUGGGUCGUAAACUUCUUUUAUAUAAGAAUAAAGUGCAGUAUGUAUACUGUUUUGUAUGUAUUAUAUGAAUAAGGAUCGGCUAACUCCGUGCCAGCAGCCGCGGUAAUACGGAGGAUCCGAGCGUUAUCCGGAUUUAUUGGGUUUAAAGGGAGCGUAGGUGGACUGGUAAGUCAGUUGUGAAAGUUUGCGGCUCAACCGUAAAAUUGCAGUUGAUACUGUCAGUCUUGAGUACAGUAGAGGUGGGCGGAAUUCGUGGUGUAGCGGUGAAAUGCUUAGAUAUCACGAAGAACUCCGAUUGCGAAGGCAGCUCACUGGACUGCAACUGACACUGAUGCUCGAAAGUGUGGGUAUCAAACAGGAUUAGAUACCCUGGUGGUCCACACAGUAAACGAUGAAUACUCGCUGUUUGCGAUAUGCAGUAAGCGGCCAAGCGAAAGCAUUAAGUAUUCCACCUGGGGAGUACGCCGGCAACGGUGAAACUCAAAGGAAUUGACGGGGGCCCGCACAAGCGGAGGAACAUGUGGUUUAAUUCGAUGAUACGCGAGGAACCUUACCCGGGCUUAAAUUGCAGUGGAAUGAUGUGGAAACAUGUCAGUGAGCAAUCACCGCUGUGAAGGUGCUGCAUGGUUGUCGUCAGCUCGUGCCGUGAGGUGUCGGCUUAAGUGCCAUAACGAGCGCAACCCUUAUCUUUAGUUACUAACAGGUUAUGCUGAGGACUCUAGAGAGACUGCCGUCGUAAGAUGUGAGGAAGGUGGGGAUGACGUCAAAUCAGCACGGCCCUUACGUCCGGGGCUACACACGUGUUACAAUGGGGGGUACAGAAGGCAGCUAGCGGGUGACCGUAUGCUAAUCCCAAAAUCCUCUCUCAGUUCGGAUCGAAGUCUGCAACCCGACUUCGUGAAGCUGGAUUCGCUAGUAAUCGCGCAUCAGCCACGGCGCGGUGAAUACGUUCCCGGGCCUUGUACACACCGCCCGUCAAGCCAUGGGAGCCGGGGGUACCCGAAGUACGUAACCGCAAGGAUCGUCCUAGGGUAAAACUGGUGACUGGGGCUAAGUC